rnacentral:rRNA from 1 species
UCCUGGCCGUAAACGAUGGGCACUAGGUGUGGGAGGCAUCGACCCUUUCCGUGCCGAAGCUAACGCAUUAAGUGCCCCGCCUGGGGAGUACGAUCGCAAGGUUGAAACUCAAAGGAAUUGACGGGGGCCCGCACAAACGGUGGAGCAUGUGGUUCAAUUCGAUGCAACGCGAAGAACCUUACCUGGGCUUGACAUCGCCGGAAAACCCCACGAAAGUGGGACUGGAAGCUUGCUUCCGCCGGUGACAGGUGCUGCAUGGCUGUCGUCAGCUCGUGUCGUGAGAUGUUGGGUUAAGUCCCG